rnacentral:rRNA from 1 species
AGUGAACGCUGGCGGUAGGCCUAACACAUGCAAGUCGAACGGCAGCACAGUAAGAGCUUGCUCUUACGGGUGGCGAGUGGCGGACGGGUGAGGAAUACAUCGGAAUCUACUUUUUCGUGGGGGAUAACGUAGGGAAACUUACGCUAAUACCGCAUACGACCUACGGGUGAAAGCAGGGGAUCUUCGGACCUUGCGCGAUUGAAUGAGCCGAUGUCGGAUUAGCUAGUUGGCGGGGUAAAGGCCCACCAAGGCGACGAUCCGUAGCUGGUCUGAGAGGAUGAUCAGCCACACUGGAACUGAGACACGGUCCAGACUCCUACGGGAGGCAGCAGUGGGGAAUAUUGGACAAUGGGCGCAAGCCUGAUCCAGCCAUACCGCGUGAGUGAAGAAGGCCUUCGGGUUGUAGAGCCCUUUUGUUGGGAAAGAAAAGCAGCAGGUUAAUACCCCGCUGUUCUGACGGUACCCAAAGAAUAAGCGCCGGCUAACUUCGUG